GCAGCAAGAAUCCGAAGAAGAAGAAGAACGCUGCCAACGCGGAAACCCUUGAAGUGCCAUUGUUCUCCACUUUCACCUCUUUAAUAUUUCCUUGACUUUCACUGAGAAGGUGGUUGUUUUUCACCAUAGAAGUCUAAGCUAGCAAUCUUAAAAACAUCCAGCAUAUCGGGCUUUGAUCUAGCGCGGUGAAGAUUCGGAGGGAUUGCAAACAGCCUGGUGGAUAGUUAUCUUAUCUCAUACUUAAGCCACAAUGAUCACAAGGAGGAGAGGUUCAAUCAAGAGACAUGAGGUGCAGUCCCCUGAAUUCGAAGUCACAGAUGCUGUGGAGACGGUAGAUGAUCUGCCCUGCCUACAUGAAGAGGAUGACGGCACGGGAUUGGAGCUCGAUGAAUUGUUUGGUAUUGAUGACUUAAAAUGGACUGGCGAUAAUGACACAACAUCGUCACUCUUCGACGUGGGGCUGAACGACUGGGGUGUAUACAAUAUGAAGGAUGACGAUUCCAUGUUCGAAGCAUCCACAAGCCCAUCUCCAGAGAGAACGCCAUUCGAAGCAAGGUCUAAGAAAAGCGAGAACCGGGCUGGCUCCAUGGUUAACAAAAACGCCAUUGCCGCCAGAAUGAAUCGACUCAAGAAGAAGGAAUACGUCAACGAUUUGGAGAAGAAAGUUGGAUUGCUUUCGACCGAGAACCACAAACUGAAGCAGGAUAAUUGUGGGCUCAACAAGCGGGUGGAGGAGUUGGAAGAUGAGACCAGGCAGCCAACCUAAAUGACCACGACUAUGCCCAACCCAGGAAGCGCAUCAAAGUGGAGGAGAAAGAAACAUCAGGCGGCAUCUGUCUUCACGUGGACAAGAACCAUGUCUCAGUGGAGUUCUGCACUAAGUGUGCAGAGAACGCAAGCGCAACGCUCAAAAUGUAGGGUCAAGUACUUAUCAUUGUUUUCAGAUUUUGAGAUGGAAAACGUAAACCCCGUAGUGAUCUUCAAGGGGUUGGCAAACACUGUUGAGUUUGCUUAGAUAUUGACAUAACUGCAUGUCUGUGUACAGUGUGAUGAAGCCAAUGAUUUUUUCUAAAGCACACGUUACUGCUAAACCUUGUUGACAGUUUUCUUCUAGGUAAUGGUUGAUCUACCAUGCGGGAUGAAUGGCUUUGAGAACACCUUUGCCUGCUUGACUCCAUGUGGAUUCUGCUGUUGGAAGUUGAAGAGCCGGGACAAGCUGCUGCCAUCGUGGCCUGGUUUAUUUUUUGAAAGGUAGUAUCGGUAUCGAUUGUUGUAAGUCUCUUCAUUAUACCAGAACUCACCACAUCCGUAGCAGCACACACAGUCCCCUGCUGCCUGGUGGAUCAGGAAUGGAUGAGGCUCUAAAGGCCUCAUUCACUACUUUGUAUAUACUGAUAUUUUGGAAUGUAACAACUUAGAUUUUUCCAAAAUUUUGUAUAGAAAUGUGAAACAGAUUUACCAACUGUACAUAUAAUUUUGAAUAAGUUUGUUUUGAGAAAAUGUUCUUCAAUAAAUCCUAUUUUGAUCAUACCUUCACCUUAAAAUGUAUAUUGUCUUGUUCUGUACUGUUGAUAUUAAUGCUUCUCUUUUUCUCUUUCUGAACAGCAAGCUCUGCAGCUAAAGGUCUUACUGAACAUUUUGGUCAAGUCUGGUAAAGGUUUUCUAAAGAAAUUAAUAAGACCUGAUUUGAGUGGAAGCUAAAAUGAGCACUAAUAACGUCCAGAUUGGGGGAGUUCAACUGAACAUCAGACCUUUCACAUUCUCACAUUAUUCCCAUGUCCUUUUGGAGUUAUUAUUCAUUUGAUGUCAUUGACAUAAAUUACAACUCAUUCCCAAAAACAUGCUGGACAUGGUAAGUUGUCUAUUACUAGUCCAUUAGAGCAUCAAGCGGUUGAUCUUUGCUAUGUAUAGAACCCUUAAAGGUCCCAUGACAUGCCACUGUGUUGAUUAUUUUGGAAAUCUGUCCCUUAUGACAUCACAGGUGGGCGUGUCCACCUAGAUGUGUGAUGGAUAGAUGAGCAACGUUUGCUUCAGUCCACUGGGUAGGCUGAUCUAUCCAGCACACAUCUAGGUGGACACUUCCACCUGUGAUGUCACAAGGGACAGAUUUCCAAAACGGCUUGUAACGGCUAAUCAGCCCACACCUGGUGGCAUGUCAUGGGACCUUUCAACUCUGCACAUGUAAUGUAAAACUGAUGCAUUUAUGAGUAAAUGAUGCAACUUCUACGGAUACAAUCCCCGUUUCUGACAAAAUAAUUAGCUUUAGACAGUUAGAUGAAUAGUUUAUUAAAUUAAAACCCAAAGCCUUUUUGUGUUUAUUUUUGAUUACUUGAACAGCAAUCGACACAUAUACGUUGUUUAGUCUAUGUUUUGGGAAAGAUUUGUUCUAUUUUCAUAAAGCCCAUCAAGCAUUUGAGUAAUGUGAAUGUGGAAGUGUUAAGUGAGGUUUCCUAGUAUAUUCUACUAGACAAGAUUUAUUUUGUAAAUGGGUUUAACAAGUUGUGUUAACUAGGGCCCGACCGAUUCAUCGGCCUGCCGAUUUAAUCGGCCGAUUAUAGCCUUUUUGAAAAUAAUCAACAUCUGCCAAAAAGACGCAGAUUACAACGUUUUUUUUUUUUUUUUUAAAUUGCGCUUAGUAUCCUGCAGAUUGCGCUCCUACUCGCCUUGCUAACUAACAACUUUAGCUGGAGUAAAAAAGAGGAGAUUGAAUUUUACCAUACAACAUGAAAGCACGCUCGCUCAGGCAGCUGCGCGCUCACCUCACCAAUGUACACAAGACGCGUUGUUUGAGCAUGUUGUGCCUGUUUUUCUUGAGGGCCCAGGCCAUGUUAAUUUGUUAUACUGUAGACUCUAACGGUGAGACCAUACUGCUCAGCACGCACGCGUUAGUCACUGCUCACGAGCGCAGCACAUUGGGAGUUAGUUAUUUAUUUUACAUUUUACAUUACUCAUUUUUUACUUUAAAUGUAUUCUAAAACACUCAAUGUUUCUGCAUUCAAUUCACAUAUUCGUCAAAAGUGUUUUAAUUAUAUUUAAGGUAUCAAAAACUAUGUUUUAUAUGCUUUUUUUUGUUUUUUUAAUCGGCCGAUGUAAUCGUAAUUUUUCUCUGAAAAUAAUUGGCAUCGGCACUCAAAAAUCAAUAUCGGUCGGGCCCUAGUACAUACAAGUCUCUUCCCAUUGCAACCGCCACUCAUUUCUGGUCCUUGCUGUUCAGCAUAAUGCACUCCCUUAUUUGUGUUCAUCUUACAAUUCUUAUGCAUAAGUCUAUUCAACUAUGCCAUAGGCAGAGGUGGAAAAAGUUUUUACAAAGCUACUCAAGUAAAAGUACAGUUUUAGUUACUUUUUUACCGGUCAUAAGUAAUAUCUCACCAAUCAUACGUUUUCAUAAAGGGGGGGAUCCAAAAUCUAUUCAGGGUUAACUUUUAACAAUGAUUUUGAGGAAUUUUACAGCCUGUCAUAAGGACUUAAACUUAUCUUGAAUAUAUUGGUUAUCGUGACCUGAUUUGCUUUUUUUCAAACCCAACAAAACAUACAUUAGGGCCUUCUAUUUUAGUCUAUAGCCUACUUCGACUUCAAGUAGUGUCAUCACACUAUAUGCUAGACAUCUGUGAUAUUAAGACUUAUCUCUGAAUCAUUUGUUCAAUAGCCUAAACAAAACGACAAACUAUUUCAAGUCCAUUAUUGAAGUUUAAGUUUGAGCUUGACAUAAUAGGACAGACAGCCAUUAAUCAUUCAGCCUACCGGCUACACCUUAGUCCGACCGCACUAACGGCUGAAAGCUAGGCUUGUUGCUAGGUGAACUCAAAUUCUCAGGCUAAUGCAGCAUGCAUCUUGUCGUUCUUGACAUACUUGCCUGUAAUUUCUUACUCCGUAUCUUGUGUGGUUUAAUGUUUCUAAGUACAAUACUUCAACCAAAACUUACUAAAGUAAAAGUAGUUUUUUAAAAACUACUGAAAAUAUACCAAAUUCCUCAAAUCUCAAUGUUUAAAUUAUUUUUACUGCCACAAAAUUUUGUGAUUUGUGCAUCGUACACCACACAAAUACGUUCCCCUCACGUUUAUAUGAAUGGGGAUUGGACUUGAUUUUACGAUAGGAUAAAAAAGUUUUUGGUGAGACGAGACAUAUCUCACUGCACAAAGUAGGUAGACAAAGUAAAGUAAGGGAAGUUAUUGUGCGGGCAGUUUGAUUUUAUGUUAAUAUUCUCCUAAAUCGUUUAAAAUGUAUGCCAUAGUCUCAAAAGAGACUUGCUUUACACCAAAUAGCCAAUUUGUAUUUAGUGCAUAUCAUAUGCCAGAGCAAAUGAACACAAGCUGGCAGUAGGCCGGUUUUCAGGCCUGGACGCCAGAAGGGGCCAAUUCUGGCAUGGUAGGUGAUUGGGAAGCUACAGGGCAAGGCUUUUUAAUUUUGUAAAUGUUUUACACAUGCGAGAUGUAUUAAUGUACACAUUUGUAGUAUACAGGGCUUGCACAUCGCAAUGAUUACCUCCAUUUUGGAAACAUUUGCAUACUAUUGUUAUAAAUAGUUUUGGGUCAUUGUUCAGCGAUCACAUCACAUGCCACAUGGCAGCUUUAUUGCUGUGCAGUAUGCCACAAUUACUUUAUUAAAAAUAAUCUAAGAGCUAUAGUUAAUGUCAAAGUGAAUUGAAUAAGUUACAUAAAGGUCUGAAAUUACGUUUCUCCAUCUAUAUAAUAAAUCUUAAAACGGCCAUGAUACAUAAUCAGAGUUAAAGUGAAUGUGAUGGUCGAAAAUACUCAUUUUGAAUGUGUGAUCAGGGUCAGGACAUUCGUUUCUGUAUUGCCGGUGUCGGUGUGUGAUGAUUAGUACUACCUCAUACAUGAAUACCCGCAUGUUGCUGCAGCCGACCCGGGCUCACCUGAGAUCGACCUACAUCCUGCCUGAUUCUCAGAGCUGGGCUAUAACGGUUGAGCACUGAACCGAGAGCCCAGAAGCAUUUCAGCACGGAUGGCCAUGAGCUGGUGUUGGUUUAUACGAAGUUGUAGGUACAUAGCGGACCAACCUGCAGUCGUUUAGUUUGAAUAAAUGCCCUCAACACAUGAUGCUCUGUGUGGAGCAGAGACCUCUAAUGUUGUGUAUUUGAACUGCAGUACUACAUUUAAAGUCAAUGUGGCAUAUUGUUCCUAAAAACAAAUGACCCUUUCCAAUUUAAGACGGAUCCGUAUUGGUAUUUUUGGGAACAUCUUCCAUGGUAUUUUUGACUAAAUUGUGUGUAGUUGUUAAAGGGAUAAAGUAUAUAACGCAUGAAGUCUAUUAUCGAUAGUAAACGAGUCGAGCUUGAUAGCUCGUUCCAUCUGCUGCUCACCCCUCUAGUCCAAAUCUUCUUUAAUAGGUCCAUGGUUCAAACUUCCAAAGUAACCCAUAUUAGAUGACCGUUGAUUGGCCCGAACCUGGUUAUCUAAUGGUCGGGCUUAAUACGAUGACUACAGAGCAGCGCCGUUGGGGCUGUUUCAUUAGCUUCAAAGAUGUCGGCCACAUGUGUCACCGUUCCUUGGCUCUAAUUGGUUUGUAUCCUGCUCUGGCUGAUAACGCCCCUUGGAUUUGUGAAGAUGACAGAAGACAGCUUCUCAGACAAGCUGCCAAUGCUACGGAAGAGGAUUAGGGCCACAAAUAGGAGAAAUCGGGAGUUCUGAGAUUAAAGUCGGAAAUAUGGAAUUCUGCGAGUAAAGUCAGAACUAAAUGUUUUUUCAUAUGCGUGGCCCAAUCCUUUUCCGUAGUGUUUCUCGUAAGAAAUAUUAUUUGAGUCCACGACAUAAAAUAGCGCAAACAUCACAAGUAAUUCUAAUAACUGAUUCAGCAUAGAGGUCCCUGCGGUAAUCCAUACUUGUUGUUAUGAAGUCUAAUCUCACAAACGAUCAGUUUUUCCGGUUUUAUGUUAUAGCCCACGAACUUCUGAGAGAAGUUUCCUGAACACUCUAAAAGUGUUGAGCCACGUAAGAGCUUCCGAACCUCCAAGCUUCUUUGAGGGCGGCAUGAACCCUAGGCCCAUGCGCCAUCUACCAAAGCAACAAGCUGCCUUUGGUCAAUCGUGGGGCCUCCAAGGCACGUCAGUUCUGUUUGAUGUUGCAUUACGUCAAUGCGAAAUCAUAAACUUGGUUUGGUUCAGCCCAUCUUGGCUUUGAAGUCUUGUUGAUCCAGGAUGGGAUCUUUUCCCGCAGGACGUAGAGCCUGAUCUGAAGACAUCAGCAGAACGCCCCUCAUCUCAUGAGCAGACAUUAAUGGCAAUGAUGGAUAUGCAAGAACCAGAUUAAAAUGUAUUCAGCUAAGAUAUCAACAUAAUUAUGAUAUAAUUAUUAUUAUAUAUA